GCAGAAGCACAAAGUACUGUCAACUAGGCACUAUUCUGUACUACUGUAACUGGCUUACUUGAAUUGCUAGGACAAAGUUGAACCCUAUUCUUCCAUCUGCUAAUGUUUCUGCAUGCAUAAUGGAAGGUGUGGUUGCAUAAUGGAAGUAGGGUCAUUGCCAGUCUAUCUGCCAGUUGCAGUAUACAGUGAACUGUGCCAACUGAACACUAGUUGCCUCAUGCAGACAUGACAAUACAAGUGUAACAUGUCACAUGAAACUGUCCGUUUUGUGAAUGCAAUGAAACUGGAAGGAAAGGGGUACUUUUUGUCCUUCCAUGUUACUGGGACUACUGGUGGAUUUCUCAAUGACCAUGUUAAAUGAACUUAAGUUUGGGAAUUCCACUAGAUAACUGCAGAGGCCAGGGUUAUGACAUAUUGGCUCGAAAUAUGAAAGGAAACAUUCUGGUUUUGCAGGAAUCUUGUCUUUAAAUCCACAUGCAUUUGUUGUACCCUCGGGCUGUCACAAUCUCAAUCUUGUAAAAAGUGAUGCUGCAAAGUCUUCAGUAGAUGUUUCAUUCUUUGGUAAUCUGCAACGAAUGUACACUUUUCAGAGGUACAAAAUAUUUUGUGAUGUGUCAGGUCUAUCUGUAAAGCCACUUUGUGAGACCAGGUGGAAGUGUAGGGUAGAAAGUGUCAAGCACCCUAAAGUGGGUGCACUUUGCAAUGCCUUGGUUUCAGUGGCAGAACUUACAAAAGAUCCUAAUGCAUAUCUGAAGCAGCAUGGCUAGUACAAGUGCUAAGUUUUUAAUAGCACUGGUGGUCUGGUAUGAUGCAUUAGUGAAGGUUGGAAAAGUCAGUAAACAUUUGCAAAGCUCUUCCAUGCAAAUUGAUCAAUGAACUGAAAAGUGUUUUAACAUAAUACAGGGCCACAAGGUACAAAAUGGCAAAAGUCACUACUACUGAGCUAGCAGAAGCACUGGAGGUAGAAUUCCAGUUUCCUGGUGCAGAUGAGGUGAGACCCAGGAAAGUGGAGGCUUUUAUCAACCAAAUGACUUAGUCCUGAACAGAAUAAAGUCAACUCAACACUCAUGUUGAUGCAGUCAUCUGUGAAGGAUGGGUUCACUCAAUGUCCAGCUCAGUGCUACUUUUGGCUUCUCUACAACAUACAAGAACUCUUGGUAGUUACUGAACAUAUUUCAAUUCUGUCUGUUAACCCAGUUGGAAUCUGCUGAUAUUGAUGUAGUACAGCUGUAUGAGGAAUUAAACACUUUAACACAUUACUCCAAAGGGAUUAUCAGUGCUGGAUGUCAAUGUAAUAAAGCGCGUAUUACUUAAGAUAUUCCCACAGGUAGUGGUAGCUCUGCACAUUUUGACACUGCUAAUGACAGUUGCAUCUGGGGAGAGAAGCUUCUCCAAACUACAACUAACAUAUUUAAGUACUAUAUGACAAGAUAGACUUGUGGCCUUGGCUAUCUCAAUGAAUGAGGUAUCUUGCCAGAGACUAUGGUGAUAUAAUUGAUUUGCUCAGUGCAAGGCACGAUAAGUGCAGCUUUAGUAAGUAGCUAGGUAGGUAAUGAAUGGUGUGCAAAUUAUGCAUGAUUUCACGUCUGAUUUAACCUGUAGUCAAGAUUUUACAGUGUAAGGCAUAACAAUUGUGCAGUAUGCCAGAGUUCCUGUAGGGAAGCAGUACAGCAAAGUUGGAAAGGGAAGCUGAGUACUGUCAGUUGUGCACUUCUCCAUUACUGUGACUGGCAAACCUGAAUGGAUAUAACAGUCAAACCCUGGUCUUGCAUCUGCUAAUGUUUCAGGAAUUGGUUAUGUCUAGGCUUGUGUAGACCCUAGGGCCAAUCUUGGGUUCAUUGUGUAAUUAAAGGUGUAGUUGUAUAAUGCCAAUAGGGUCAGUGCCAGUCUCAAAUUACCAAUGAUACACCACAUUUCAGAGGGAAUGUGCCAACUGAAAUCUCUAAGACUGCAGUAAACAUGACAGUUUGUACAAGUGUAACAUUUCACUGUGAAACAUUGCAUAUAGAAAUGUACAUCAAAUGGCAGCAGGGGAAUAAAACCAAACUAUUACAAUGUCUGAAGCAUGAACCAGCUAAAUGAGUCUUCAAAUAACUCAAGUGUACCUGACAGUUUGGCAAUUUAAACUUAAGUCACACAUUAAAUAGAAAUGUGUAGUAGCCAGCAAUGAAAUAAAAUCUGACCAUUUCAAUGUCUUUAACAUGAACUAUGCCUAACCUUUUCAAAAUUACUCUAGCAGACCAGGCACUUUUUUCUUUUGUACACAUUAAUUGUGAAGUAUUGCAUAUAGAAAUGCAUGAAUAGCAGCAGAUAAAAUGUGACAAAUUUUGAUGUCUAACAUUGAAGUGCACCAACUGAAAUCUAAUGUCUUCAACUUAAGUGGACCUGACAGUUUGUACAAGUUAAUCACUUUUUACUGUUGAACACUGCAUUUAGAAAUGCACAUCUAAUAGCCGGCAAAGGAAUACUUGAACGACUAUUGUUGGCAUGAAGGGUGUCAAUUUACGUGGACCUCACACAUUUCAUUGUGAAACAUGUGCAUAUAGAAAUGUACAUCUAAUGGCAGCAGUGGAAUAAAACCGGACUACAAUGUCAAGCAUGAACUGAACCAGCUAAAUGAAUGUCUUGAAGUUACUCAUGUGGACCUGACACUUUGCAAGUUAAACAUUUAACUGUCAAAUAUUGCAUAUAGAAAUGUCUAGGAGCCAGCAAUUAAAUAAAAUCUGACAAUUUCAAUAUCUAACAUUAAUUGUGUCAACUGAAACCCAAUGUUUUAAAUCAAGCAGACUGGACAGUUUUUAGAAGUGAAACACUUUUUAUUGAAGACUGCAGUUGGAAAUGUUCAUCUGGUAGCCAGCAAAGGAACAAUUAAAUGACAAUUUCCAAUGUCUUUCACAUGAAGUGACAAUUCAAGUGCACCUGGCAGUUUAUACAAGUGUCAAACAUGCAUAUAGAACUGUACAUGUAAUGGGAGAGCAAUGCAAUAAAGUCAUCUGACAAUUUAUGAACUGUAUUAAGUAAAUGUCUAGCAGCCAGCAAUGAAAUAAAAUCUGACUAUUUCAAUGUCUCUAGCAUUAAUUGUGCCAACUGAAACCUGUUUUCAAAUUGGUCAACCAGAACUGACAGUUUGUACAAAUGCAAAAUUUUACUGUCAAAGAUUGCAUAUAAAAAUGUACUUGACAAGUAAUGGAAUAAAUCAUUUGACACUA